rnacentral:tRNA from 1 species
GCGGGUUUGGUGUAGUGGCUAACAUGCAACUUUCCCAAAGUUGAGAUCACGGGUUCGAUCCCCGUAACCCGCUCCA